AGUAUGGAAUGAGCUGAGUCAUCCUCUGAGUGUGUUAGCAAGGCUCUGAAACAGCCACAUUUCCCAGCCAGAAAACUAUCAGGAGUUUGUUCGGCUGCAAGGGGACAUGUUGAUCUGACAAUGCUAGGAGCGAUGCAGGUUUCCAAAUAUGGUGACCUGGCUAACUGGAUGAUACCUGGGAAGAUGGUGAAAGGAAUGGGAGGUGCUAUGGAUUUAGUGUCCAGUGCCAAAACCAAGGUGGUGGUCACCAUGGAGCAUUCUGCAAAGGGAAAUGCACAUAAAAUCAUGGAGAAAUGUACAUUACCAUUGACUGGAAAGCAAUGUGUCAACCGCAUUAUUACUGAAAAG
rnacentral:sRNA from 1 species